UAAGGAAUAUUGGUCAAUGGAGGGAACUCUGAACCAGCCAUGCCGCGUGAAGGAAGAAGGCGCUACGCGUUGUAAACUUCUUUUGGGUGGGACGAAAAUAAUCCAUUUAUGGAUAGCUGACGGUACCAUCAGAAUAAGCACCGGCUAACUCCGUGCCAGCAGCCGCGGUAAUACGGAGGGUGCGAGCGUUAUCCGGAAUCACUGGGUUUAAAGGGUGCGUAGGUGGCUUAAUAAGUCAGCUGUGAAAUGU
rnacentral:rRNA from 1 species